GGGCGCAUAGCUCAGUUGGCUAGAGCAUCUCGUUUACACCGAGAGGGUCGGGGGUUCGAGUCCCUCUGCGCCCACCA
rnacentral:tRNA from 1 species